UCCUUUUUUUUUUUUUUUUUCAUUUUCCUUUUUUCCCCCUACUUUUGAAGCAAAGGACUGAUUUUUGUAACUUUUCCAGCAAUGGAAAAUAGAUGCUAGAGACAAAUUGAUGGCAAUAAAAUUUUCUAGAGAAUAGAAUUCUGAGAUAUGGAGUAUGCAGAUAAGGGAAUUUUCAGAUGGCAAUGACCAUGCUCCAUGUCUUGAACAAAUAUGGCAUAAUAUGUAGAAUUGUAUUCCAAGUUCUGUUUAUUAAAAAUCAGAUGCUUAGAUUCAAAUUUUG
rnacentral:misc_RNA from 1 species